rnacentral:rRNA from 1 species
GUCUACGGCCAUACCACCCUGAACGCGCCCGAUCUCGUCUGAUCUCAGAAGCUAAGCAGGGUCGGGCCUGGUUAGUACUUGGAUGGGAGAAAAUUAUUCUUGAACAGAAACAAAGAGCUGCCAGUG